UGCCUUUUACUUAGUUGGUGGCCUUAACAUGGCUCCUUUUAACUUUUCCACAUCGUUCAUGUGUCCUCAGCCUCCUGUCGUUCCCUUUCCAGGGCUAUGUUUCAGAUCACAUCAUGUAGUCACAGCAGAGGAAACUGGUACCAGCAAGAGUCUCACUCAAAUGAUUCCAACCUCUGCAUGAACUACUUCACCUUUCCUGAGAUUCUGAGAUGUUUUGUCUCAGAGCUCAAGAAUGUGGGAUGGAUGCAGCACUGGAGGGGACACUAAGUCUUGCCCAAGACCUAAAAUGCUGGGAGUAAUGAAUGUGCUAAACCUCACACCCCCAGCAACCCAAGGAGACAGAACAUCUAUUUAUACAAAUACAAAUUGUCCCCAGCAUUCAUGCAGUACUAGAAAGCUAACCCACA